rnacentral:rRNA from 1 species
AUGCACAUGCUGUGAGCUCGAUGAGUAGGGCGGGACACGUGGUAUCCUGUCUGAAUAUGGGGGGACCAUCCUCCAAGGCUAAAUACUCCUGACUGACCGAUAGUGAACCAGUACCGUGAGGGAAAGGCGAAAAGAACCCCGGCGAGGGGAGUGAAAAAGAACCUGAAACCGUGUACGUACAAGCAGUGGGAGCACAGAGCAAUCUGUGUGACUGCGUACCUUUUGUAUAAUGGGUCAGCGACUUAUAUUCUGUAGCAAGGUUAACCGAAUAGGGGAGCCGAAGGGAAACCGAGUCUUAACUGGGCGUUAAGUUGCAGGGUAUAGACCCGAAACCCGGUGAUCUAGCCAUGGGCAGGUUGAAGGUUGGGUAACACUAACUGGAGGACCGAACCGACUAAUGUUGAAAAAUUAGCGGAUGACUUGUGGCUGGGGGUGAAAGGCCAAUCAAACCGGGAGAUAGCUGGUUCUCCCCGAAAGCUAUUUAGGUAGCGCCUCGUGAAUUCAUCUCCGGGGGUAGAGCACUGUUUCGGCAAGGGGGUCAUCCCGA